UUUUGAUUUAUAAUGAUAAUUAAUAAAUGUUGAAGGAGUAACAAUUAAGAUUGGUCAACCAUAAAUAUUGUUAAUUGAGUGAGGAAAUGAGAAAUAGUAUAAAAAGGAUUUCAUUUGAUUGAUUAAAGUAUCACAAUCUGAUUGUAAACAGUUGAAUCAACAACAAUAAGAAAAAAAUCAAUUCUAAUCUUGAUUAAGAUCAACAAUCAAUAACUUUGAAAAAUGAAUUCAUCAAUUGUCAACUUUAUCUUUGCCUGUGUCUUUGUAAUUGUCAUCGCUUUUUCUGCAAAUGUUGAAGCUCGUCGAGGUGGUGGUGGGUCAAUCAUCAUCAUGGGUGGACAAGGUCAACAUGGUUACGUUCCUUAUCCCGUCAUGAUGUCCGGUUGGGGUUGUGGUCAUUCAGGUCUCAACAGUCACAGCGGAUGGGGUUGGGGACAUUAAACUCAUGGAAUAAUCUGAAAUUGUUCAAUUCAAAUGAUUAUUAUUACUAUUUAAACAAUAAAUUGAGAUUAAACCACAAUUA